rfam:Heterocephalus glaber contig129126, whole genome shotgun sequence.
GGAUGUGAGGGCGAUCUGGCUCUGACAUCUGUCACCCAUUGAUAAACAGAGUUGAUUCAGGUUGUUUCCUUCCUCCCUCACUGCUCCACGCAUGUCCUUCCUGAAGCUGAGUGCUGGGUUUAAGAGGAUAACCACCCCCAACAGAGGAAGACCAUAUGCACUCCUCCUCUAGAACCUCUAAACAAGCAUUCAAUAUCACUGGUGAUUUGAGAUAUGCGAAUUAAAACAACACUGAGAUUUCAUCUCACUCCAGAAAGAAUGGCUAUCAUC